rnacentral:misc_RNA from 1 species
AACGCACAUUGCGCCUCUCGGUAUUCCGGGAGGCACGCCUGUUCGAGCGCCAUUACACCGUCCAAGCUGCGGCUUGAUGUUGGGCGAGGCUGCGGUCCGAGAGGACGGGCGGCGCGCCUGGAAGGUAUGGGCGGCGGAGGCCAGACCGCGAGCGUAGCAAGACGAGAGUCACCCGCUCGGACGGAUCUGGCGGACGCGUGUCGAGAAGUCGAGGAUGCGAGGGCGACCGCGCAAAGACGACGAAACACACACAAGUUUGGCCUCGGAUCAGGCGGGGAUACCCGCUGAACUUAA